rnacentral:rRNA from 1 species
GACGAACGCUGGCGGCGUGCCUAAUACAUGCAAGUCGAACGCACAGUCUAUACCGUAGCUUGCUACACCAUAGCCUGUGAGUUGCGAAUGGGUGAGUAACGCGCAGGCAAUCUGCCUGGUAGCGGGUGAUAACUAUUGGAAACGAUAGCUAAUAUAGCAUAAUAUUCAUUAUUGCAUGAUAAUAAAUUGAAAGGCGCAAUUGUAUCACUACCUGAUGGAUCUGCGUUGUAUUAGCUAGUAGGUGCGGUAACGGCUCACCUAGUCGACGGUACAUAGCCGAACUGGGAAGGUGAUCGGCCACACGGGGACUGGGACACGGCCCAGAAUCCUACGGGAGGGAACAAUAGGGAAACUUCGGCAACGGGCGCCCCUCUGACCGGUCCAACGCGCGUGGGGGCAGAAAGGUUUCGGGUCGGAAAGCUCUGUUGAAAGGGAAAGAAGGGUUUGAGAAUGGAAAGUGCACACUGUGACGGUAUCUAACCAGAAAGGGACGGCUAACUACGUG